AUUGACCCAACAUCGCGCCCGCCGUGUGCGGGCUGCGGACCAGUGAGGGUUGGCCAGCACCAGUGCGGCCAUCCCUUGAAAUGCACGGCUUGGCCCGCGCUGUCGGGCUGCGUGUUGCAACUCCACACGAGCGACGCCUCACGGCGCGCCUCGCUGGGGCCAGCGCGCGGCAAUCCCCGACCGUGGGCCAGUGACAACGACGUGGCGAGUGGCCCCGCCCUGCGGGCGCCAGCUCACACCCA
rnacentral:misc_RNA from 1 species